ensembl:lncRNA
CCACCAACCACUCAGCGUCUGCAAUGUGUGGAUGUGCUUGUUCUCCUGCUAUCCUCUUGGGGUUAAUUGAAUAUCACAUUUCAAAGCCACUUUGAUGGAUUUACCAAAGUGCAAUACAAUAAAACUAUCACAAUGUUUUUCCACGCAAUGAAGCAAAUGCAGUUCAGACUCAGAGAGGAGAAGGGUGAAGGAAAUAGGUUCUGGAUGCAAUCGUGGUGCCUUGGAGGUUGAGGUGAUGGAUGAUGUGUUUUACCACAAGAGGCCAUUUACAGAAGUAUAUUGACAAGGUCAACCAAAGGAGUUCCACUGUGAACACUGCAGCACUGGACCCUGCUGGAACUGGUGGCAGUUUCUAUGGCCACCCUCUGGUUUUCAGUGCAAGAGCUGGUUUGAAAUUUCUGAACAGAGGAGUAUUUGCUUGCUUGGAUACCGACAGCCCAUGACAGUGUCAGCCCACGGGAGCUCAGCUGCAAGCAAUGAAGCUGAGUGACCAGGAGGGCUGGAGUCAGGAUCUACCCCUUCCCAGACCUCAUUUAAGGGUUGGCAGUGGAAAAACCUGACCAAUGUGCCACGCUUACAAGAAAUAUGCAAAGAAAGAGUACAAGAAUUAAUGCACAACUCAAGGCAUGUCUGUGAUAUGCAAAGCAGCACAGAGAAGUAACAUCUGGGAAAGAAUCAAACGAACUCAUUCCAGAAAUGAAGCUGUUACAGCUGCAUUAGCCCAGGGUUGAGCCCAGGACAGCUGGCUAGCUGAGAGGCAGAGCUAGUCAUCCUGGGAUGAAAUCCAGUCCACUGAAAUCCCACUUUUUUCACAGACAGCAAAUCAGUCCACAUAUUUUUCUGGACUGCUCAUUAUAAAUCUCUCUAAAUUCAUUAAAGACGCCUUUAUUUCAUAGGAGGUAUUUUCCAGGUUUUUCCCUUAAAUGCUUGAGUCAAACUCUGCUGUGAUCAAAGUUCUAGUCCAGAUCCUAUACCAUUUUGUCUCCACUUAAUUCUUCUAGAAAGGUCUUUAAAGUUAGAGUUAGUGAGAACAAGAAUGUGGCACCAGUCAUUUUAUUCCUAGGAGUCCAAAAGCUACAGGAAAGUGAGCUCAGAUUUUACACGCUGCUUGCAUCAGAACACCGCAAAGUUAUUUUAUCUGGUCAGUUGUGGAGCCAAGCAUACAGGAGAUAAAAAGAAGUCAAAAAAAAAAAAAAAAAAAAAAAGAAAAAGAAAAGAAAGAAAAAGAAAAAAAAAGACAAGAAUCUAGAGAGGAAGAACAGGACCAUUGGAUCCUGCUCCUUGUAACAUUGACUAUGUGACUGGUAUAUUCCUGAAAGCAUGUAGUUUAUCUUCAUGGGGAAAGGGAGCCCACCAUAUGCUUGGCCUUGACUUUAUGUUCAGAGAACUUCUGUAGGCAAAAGGGAAUGAAACUCCCUUGGGGUUGUGUAGAACCCAGGACCAGGAUCUUGGGGAGACCCUCAGAUAUGAGGUCUUUAUUACAUAAAAUCUAGACUUGCGACUCCAUUUUAUAUUUUGUGUUCACCAUGAGAGCGUGGAUCUGGAUUCCACACUGAUGUCAUCACCUACAAUUUGCUUUUACUUCGAGCUCUCAGGGGAAGAUGCACAGUAAAGAGAAAUGGGUCCUUAGAAGUAUUUAUCUCUCUCUGUUAACUGUGCAUUGACCACUAUAGCUAAGUGGUCUCUACUUGUAUGUCCCCCCACUCCGAGUUACAACUUGGAGAGACCUCUGCUCAAAGAAGGAGACUAUACCAGGUCUGAGUAACAAGAAUGUUUUCAUCUGUUAAAAAUACAGAGGAAAAAGCACCUAGUAAAUUCAAAAGUGUGAAUAUUAAAAAUAGAACAGGAAAGAACUUUCAAUUAUUUCUCAUGGUUGCUCCUGAGUUUUAGUCUGUUAUCUUUGCUACCUGAGCUUCAUGCAGAAAUAAGAU